GCCUGUAGGUGCAUAUGCGCAUGCGCGGGAAUGGUGACCAUGGCGGCACCCAGCCAGUCUCCAGUAUCAGAACUCUGUUCUCCCCAAUCAGCAAUAUCGCACCCGUCCUUUGUCUUCAGCUGUCGUUAACUCCCCGCUUUUACACAGUCCGUGACCAAGCCCCAGGCAGCACCUCCCUCCUGAGUUUUGUCUCAGAUGCGGCUGUUUUUCCUGACGUCUUACUUCUGAGGGACUGCGGCUUUGACGCGUUCUGCCCCUCUGCCGGAGGGUCUCACCAAGCAACGGCUGUGUGCCGGCAGCACCCAGGAACGUUUGCGGGACCGUGCUGCUGUCGAUGCCCAGAGGCUGCAGCCGGGUGCCAGCCCGCCCCAGAAAAAGUUCAGGAGGUAGUGUAGCAGCUUUUCAGGGAUUAUGAAAAAUCACAACACACAUCUGGUACCAGGCUUCACCCUUAAACUACCUUGUUCCAGCACCACCAAAUGUGGUUGUUCUCCUGGGUCCACGGGGGCCCUGCCUUUGGGGGACCCGCACAGCCUUUACCAGGUGUCCUCCCAGCAGGGGAACCGCCUCUGCCCGUGUGGCCUGAAGAACCCUGGACUCCACUCAGCUCCUGAGGAUUCGCCCUUCCCACCAGAGCACCGUCAGGGGCUGCUUACUAAAAGCGGAGCCAUUCCUGCUGAUCAAGUAUCCAUGUGGCGUUUCUGAGUUGAGGUUUAAAGGACAGCAACUACUGUGAGGUUCUUGCUACAGAUGGAUUUGCGAAUCUGAAAGCUGCUUUAGAACAGUGGAGUCAUUUUGAAUUCUACAACAACGUAAUGACUUCACAAGGUCCAAGAUGAGAAAAGGCAUAUCUUCCUCUAUGGAACUGUUUUCUUCUUGUUCAUCCACUGAGGACUCCUGGCGUCACAGAGAUACCCAAAUUUGCACUGUGCUGCAGCUCCAGGCUUGGUCUCCAGGUACCGUAUUACCAGAAAUAAAACUGUUUCAUUUA